rnacentral:lncRNA from 1 species
GCAGAGUCUAAAGUAUGACCCCGGCUAGUCACAUGGAGACCGUUUUGUUUUGGUCUAUGUUUUGAAAGUAAAAAAAGGACAGUUUUUCUGCAUGAUUCCAAAAGUACAUUUGGACGUCUGAACACCUGCUGACUGUUGUUUGCUAACAGGGGUGUGACCCGCCUCCCAGUAAGCUGUCUGUGCAUUUUGGUAUUUCCUCCUGCCUUUUAGAAUUAACAGCUGCUUCACGGUUAACUGGGAAAGAGCAGGUGUGUUGGAGAUCGGAAGAGGAACCAGCAGUGGCCAACCUAAGCAGCACUGCUGUCCUUUGCACCGGAAAAGACCGACGGGAGGAGAAGAGGAGGGACAGACUCUGGUGAUUUAAGGUUGUCAUAAGGCUGCUUGCUGUGUUAGCCUAACCACUGGGCAUGAUUCCUGGAACCUCCAUAAAACCAGGAUAUGGUUACAGCUGUAAGCCCAGCAUUGCUCUGGUGAGAUGGGAGACUGAGACAGAAUGGGCCAGAGUCUCUGGGGCCAUCUGGCCUGGAGGCGAAGCACGGGAGAAACAGUAAGACAGACCUUAUCUCAAGGAGGUGAAAGAGCAAAUUCCACAGUCAAGAUGUUUACACUUGAGGUGACCAUUUUGGUUUCCCUGCACCCAGGGAAGGACGUUACAGUUCCUCCACUCAGGAACGCGCCCCUGAAUUUACUGUGGAACAGCAGGCUCUUGUAGAAGUCAUUACAGGGCAAACAGGGAACUGGGUCACUGCAGUGACCCUCCAUGGGGCCAUCUUGCACACGUGGAUCUUGAUGAGCAGUGCCUUUAAGCUGUGCUCAACUUCCUCAACCCUAGGCUCGGGGUAGCUCGGCAGAGCCUUGUGGUUUUCUUCUGGAUCAAACAGUCCUUGCUGAUUCGUGAGUGGUGGCUGCCGAGUGGACUGGACUGCAGCUGCUGAUUCAUGUUGGUGUUUUGUUAGAAGACUGGACUGCUGACAACGAAGAUUGGAAUCGCCCCAGAGAACUAUUUCUAAGCAGAUCCUGGUUGACAUACUUUGGUUAGCAUCAAUAGUGAGAAGCAAAACUACAGAAGCCCCAAAGCAAGACAUAGGCAUGUCCACGUGAGCAGGCGUAUGGAAAUCAUACAGCAAGUGUAUGGAAAUCAGAAGACAACUUUCUGGGCUUGAUCCUCCAUCACGUGGUUCCAGGGUUCAAACCCAAGGCAUCAGACUUGGCAGCUAACGCCUUUUCCACUGAGUCAACUUGCUAGCUACAAACUUGGAUUUUGUUUGUUUGUUUGAGACACAGUCUCACCAUGAAGCCUCAGUUGGCUUGGCACUCACUUUGUAGACCAGGUUGGCCUCCAAUUCAGAGAGCCAGCUGCAUCUGUCUCCAGGACGCAGGGGCUGAAGACAUAUGUCACCACACCUGUCAAAAACAAUACAAAACACAGCAGUCCGAUGCCGGGCUAACUUUAAUUCCAGCACCUGAGAAGCAAAGGCAGCUGGAGCUCCGAGUUCAAGACCAGCCUGGUCUACAGCCAGGGCUACACAGAGAAACCUGUCUUGGAAAACCCAAGCCAACAACAACAUGUUUUAAUAAUACUUUUUCCAAUGAUGUUUAGUCUAUGAAUAAGUGUUUGAUUAUUAUAUGACUCGGCUAAGAAGAUGAGUGCUUCUCCUCCAAGAGAAUACAGCUCAGAUCUGGGCAUUGGCGGGCAUCUUCAUUUAGCUUACUCAGUAAGAUAGAAAGAACAUUAGAACUCACGCAUUGAUCAGUGACAACAGUACUGUACGGAAGCAUAUGGGAGCUUACCAACAGCAGCCCAGUUUCUUGUGCUUCUUACCGCAGUGGCUGCUCUAGCUGCCCUUCCACUCCGAUCCGCUUCAUUAACAUUGUCUCUCCCAUAUGCAGCUUGCUUCCACGAGUUAAGCCUGAAGCUGAGGGUGUAGUUCAGCUGGUAGAGUGCUUGCGAACACACACAAAACCCUGACUUUGAUCCCCAGGACUGCACAAACCACAACAACGGGCUGGAGCCAUACCUAUACUCCCAGCCCCUGUGGAAACAGGGAGCUCAGAAGGCCAAAGUCAUAGCCGGCUACAGGGGAAGUCACAAGACCUUGUCCGCAAAUAAAUAAAGCUUUAUUGGAUCACAGCCAUGUCCAUCCUCUCUGUGUGGUCUGCGGUCACUUUUGUAGUAAGAGAUGAAUAACUGUUACAGAGACAAUGUGUUAGACAAAUCUACAAUAUUUCCUAGUUGACUACUUUGUUUGGGACACUGCCUCCCUGUGUAUCCCAGGCUGAUCUGGAACUAUGUAGCCCAGGCUGGCUUGGAACUCAGGCCUGCUUCUGCCUCUUGAGUGCUGAGAUUACAGGAAUUUAUCACUACAACCUGUUAGUAGUUGGCUUUUUUAUAUAUAUAUAUAAAAA